GGAAUUCGCCCUUUCCGGUUGAUCCUGGCAGAGGUUACUGCUAUCGAGGUUCGACUAAGCCAUGCGAGUCGAAUGCCGCAAGGCAUGGCGUACUGCUCAGUAACACGUGGACAACCUACCCUUAGGACUGGGAUAACCCCGGGAAACUGGGAAUAAUCCCCGAUAGUCCUCGAAGGCUGGAAUGCAUCGAGAGCGAAAGCUCCGGCGCCUAAGGAUGGGUCUGCGGCCUAUCAGGUAGUAGUGGGUGUAGCGUACCUACUAGCCUACGACGGGUACGGGUUGUGAGAGCAAGAGCCCGGAGAUGGAUUCUGAGACACGGAUCCAGGCCCUACGGGGUGCAGCAGGCGCGAAAACUUUACAAUGCUGGCAACAGCGAUAAGGGAACCUCGAGUGCCAGGUUACAAAUCUGGCUGUCGAGAUGCCUAAAAAGCAUUUCAUAGCAAGGGCCGGGCAAGACCGGUGCCAGCCGCCGCGGUAACACCGGCGGCUCGAGUGGUAACCGUUAUUAUUGGGUCUAAAGGGUCUGUAGCCGGCCGGAUAAGUCUCUUGGGAAAUCUGGCAGCUCAACUGUCAGGCUAUCAGGAGAUACUGUCUGGCUCGAGGCCGGGAGAGGUGAGAGGUACUUCAGGGGUAGGGGUGAAAUCUUGUAAUCCUUGAAGGACCACCAGUGGCGAAGGCGUCUCACCAGAACGGACCUGACGGCAAGGGACGAAAGCUAGGGGCACGAACCGGAUUAGAUACCCGGGUAGUCCUAGCCGUAAACGAUACUCGCUAGGUGUCGGCCACGGUGCGACCGUGGUCGGUGCCGUAGGGAAGCCGUGAAGCGAGCCACCUGGGAAGUACGGCCGCAAGGCUGAAACUUAAAGGAAUUGGCGGGGGAGCACCACAACGGGUGGAGCUUGCGGUUUAAUUGGAUUCAACGCCGGAAAUCUUACCGGGACCGACAGCGAUAUGAAGGCCAGGCUGAAGACUUUGCCGGAUUAGCUGAGAGGUGGUGCAUGGCCGUCGUCAGUUCGUACUGUGAAGCAUCCUGUUAAGUCAGGCAACGAGCGAGACCCA
rnacentral:rRNA from 1 species